ACAUUGACAAAUGGGGCAUACUUGUCUAUUUUCUUUAUUAUUUUCUGAAUAGUAGCAAUAAGGGCAAUAUUGUAAUUCUUGGCCUUUUGGCUUUAUUAUAAAUAGAUAGCUUGGGGUCACAUUGACCUAACCAAGCAUUCAGUUCA